GACGAACGCUGGCGGCGUGCUUAACACAUGCAAGUCGAACGGUGAAGCGAGUGCUUGCACUCGUGGAUCAGUGGCGAACGGGUGAGUAACACGUGAGUAACCUGCCCAUCACGCUGGGAUAAGCACUGGAAACGGUGUCUAAUACUGGAGACGACCAACCCUUGCAUGGGGUGUUGGUGGAAAGAUUUAUCUGUUAUGGAUGGACUCGCGGCCUAUCAGCUUGUUGGCGGGGUAAUGGCCCACCAAGGCGACGACGGGUAGCCGGCCUGAGAGGGUGAACGGCCAAACUGGGACUGAGACAACGCCCAGACUCCUACGGGAGGCAGCCGUGGGGAAUAUUGCACAAUGGGCGAAAGCCUGAUGCAGCGAAGCCGCGUGAGGGAUGACGGCCUUCGGGUUGUAAACAUCUUUCAGCAGGGAAGAAGAGAAAGUGACGGUACCUGCAGAAGAAGCACCGGCUAACUACGUG
rnacentral:rRNA from 1 species